rnacentral:lncRNA from 1 species
ACUUCAUUAUCCGUCCUAUGGAUCCAAAAUUGAGACUUUUCAUUAUUAUUUUGGGAAUGCUUCCAUUCUCCUAACAAAGAAAACCAUAGGAUUCCAGAGAUUCAAUCAAAUCACCUAUGGAGCAGACAUCAAACGACGAAUCUAAUACUCGUAGAUUCAGAGUUUUGAUGUUCCCAUGGCUAGCUCAUGGCCACAUGUCUCCCUUCUUAGAACUAUCCAAGAGACUUGCCAAAAACAACUUCCAGAUCUACUUUUGAUCCACUGAGAUCAAUCUGAGUUUCAUCAAGAAAGAUAGAAACUUGGACGAGUACUUCUCCGAUCAUUCAACAGAAUUAGUGCAACUUGAUUUGCCACACUUCCCUGAACUCCCUCCACACUAUCACACAACAAAAAACCUCCCACCCCACCUGAAUCCAACCCUCCAUGUUGCGUUUUACAUGGGAAGGACCAACUUCCAAAACAUCCGGUUAUUUAGAUACUUGAAUUUUACCUAUAUUUGUAUCUGACUCUUUUCUAAUUAGUUUUAGUUAUAGUUCUUCUCUCGUCUAACAACUUUAUCUUUUUAGAUAAGUUUGAGUUAUUUGUUCUUAUGAUUCCUCUCUCUUCUAACAAUAUGAUAACUUCAUAUAUUUUUUUAUCCAUAUGGAUUAACUUUUUUUUUUAUAUAGAAAGGGAUUUUAUUGAAUAGAACACGAAUGUACACAGAGUAGAGGCAUUUGCUACACAAAAGUACUACUACAACCAAUUAAGCUAUACAAUAGUACUGCUACAAUGAACUAAAUUCCGAUUAUGCUAUCAACAUUUAAGGAAAAUCUCUUGGGGAAAAUCCCAACUAAGGCAAAAUAACCAGUUGUCUCUUGUACUCGAUACAUUCCUCCAUUCUGCCACAUAGCAGCGAAUCUCUUUUAGCACUUUGCGUACAAUAGCUUCAGCAUCAAAGGUUUUAUAUUGGAACACCCUAUAAUUUCUCUCCUUUCAUAUAUAAUAUACAGCUACUCCUAGUGCCAACUUCUUUACUGUAUUUAUAAAGCUUUCUUUUUUCCAAUGACAACUGAGCCAUUCAACUUCAGUAUUCCAUUUAUAAAUCCCUCAAUAUUGCAAGUAGUAUUGUAACCUGCAUACUCACAUUGAAAAAAUAGAUGAUUACAAGAUUCAUUUCCAGUACAACAUAAUACACAUUUCAUUUCAGUCAUAAUGCCCCAUUUAACCUACCUGUCCUUUGUGCUUAAUCUAUUCUUGCACAACAACUACAAGAUCAAUGAAUGUUUUGGUAUAUAUAUUUUAAACCACACAAGAUUAUGCCAAUAGACCUCAACAGCGAAAUGAUUCAACACUUCAUUUGCAGAUUUGACAGAGAACAAACUUGAUUUACUGGGUAGCCAUUUCACUAUAUCUGACAUUCCCUCGCUUAAUGAUUGUCCAGAAGGAAGAAAUUGCACUGGAAGAAAUUGUGCAAGAUCAUCUACUUCAGCUAUUCUCCUCCUACCAAUGGAGAUCUUCCACUCUCCAUUUUCAAUGAUAGAAGAAACCUUAGCCAGUAGCGUACUUCCAAAUUGUCACAUCUUAUUGUGUCCACAAGCUGUCAACAAUGGCCCUCUAUGGUGCCCAUUAUCAUACCGGAGAUAAGUAUUUUCUCCACUUUUGAUCACUGAGACAAUAAAAAGGCUGUAUAAUAGGUCUAAUCUAAAGGAGUUUACGCCAAACCCAAGAACAAGAUUGAGGCAAUAAAAUAGACUAGAAACAUUUAUUUUUGAGUAUCACAGUGUGAACCCAAGCAAUCCAAAGAGAAUCCUUUUUAAGUGCUUUGUGCCAGAUAUGCUUAAACAAUAAAGCCUUAUUCCAAUUUGUCAAAUAAGGUAAUCCUAGCUUUUCUUGUUUAAUAGGUUUGCUCAUUUCCUUCCAACAUACUUUGAUCCCAUUCUUGAUAGAAUUUACUCCUUUCCAUAAGAAUGCAAUAAGCAUAGCUUCAAUCCUCUUAAUGACAGCUCGUGGUAAUAGGAAUAUGCUACUCCAAUAGAGUUGAAUACUAAGCAACGCUGACUUCACCAAUUGCAAUCGACUAACGUAAGUCAAUAGUUUAUUACUCCACCCUUCUAUUUUCCUCUUUAUCUUCUCAAUGAUUGGAGAGCAAUCCUUGAAGAAUAGUUUGGUACUUAUCAAAGACACACACAAAUAUUUAACAGGUAGAUAACCUCUCUUGAUUCCUAGGAUCUUACAUAGUUCAAGACCCUGCUAUUCAUUAACGUCUGAUAGAAAGAUCUCACUCUUGUGCAAAUUAGGGGAUAGUCCUGACAGAUCAGAGAAUUCCUUAAGAAUAGAUUUCAUGAUAUUAAAAGAACCAAGGUUUGUAUCAGAAAAAAGGAAUAAAUCAUCAGCAAAAAUAAGGUAAGAUAUUCCAAGUGAUUGGCAUUUUGGAUGAAAUUGAAAGUCAAGUCCUUCGGCAGCUUCAUCAAACAAAAGAGAGAAAAUUUUCGUUGCAAGAAGAAAGAGAUAUGGUGAGAUGGGAUCACCUUGUCUUAAUCCUCUAGAACUGGGAAUAUAACCAACUAGGGCUGAUACUGGACCGAGUAGCUUGAGUCGAGCUCACAAGGUACUCGGUCUGCAGCUCGGCUCAAGCUCGUUUUGACCGAGUUCAAGCUCAAACUCAAGUUGCUUCAUAGAAACAGCGAGUCAAGUUCAAGCUUCAAUAUUUUUGCACUCGAAGACUCGACGAGUCUAAUUGAGUUUUUUAUAAUAUAUAUUUUUAUUUUUAUUCUUUGAAAUGUCAAUAAUAUCCUUUAUUUAAAAUUAUAUGUAAAAUAUUAAUUUUUAUUACGUGAGCUUGAUUAGGCUUGAUUGAGCUCGAUUUGAAUUGAUUAGAUUUAAUUAAACUCGAAUUCGAGUUCGAGCUCGAGUAACGUAAAUUGACAUCGAGUUCAAGCUCGAGCUCGAAUUCUAAAAGCCCGACGAGAUCGAGCUCGAUCUCGAACUUAGUUAUUUUAACUACUUGAACUCAACUCGACUUGAACGCACCCCUAUACCUAACUAAACCUCCAUUCAUGUUAUGUGAAAAUCUAGCUGAACACACUCCUUUCUUAACCCAACAAAUGUACUUCUUAGGAAAAUUCAUACAUUUCAUAAUAGUGAAUAAGAAAUCCCAUCUAAUAGUGCCAUAGGCCUUAACCAAGUCAAUUUUUACAGCAUAUUUAGCCUGUCCAGUAUCCCUGUGGUACCCAUUUACAAUGCCAUGCAUCAAAAGUAUAUUAUCUGAGAUCACUCUACCUUUUAGGAAGGCAUUUUGGAGAUUACAUAUCAAUUUUGACAACACUUUCUUCAUUCUUUCAGUUAAGAUUUUGGAGAAGACCUUGUAAAUUGUAUUACAGCAAGAUAUAGGCCUAUAUUCUUUCAUAGUUGAUGGGUUAGGCACUUUUGGAACCAGGGAAAUGACUGUACUAUUCAGUGGAGGAUAAAAUUUGCUAUCACUAAAAUAGUAUUUAACAACUCUGAUAAAGUCAGUUUGCACAACUCUCCAUUUUUUUACAAAAAUUCUACAGGAAAAUCAUUAGGUCCUGGAGCCUUACCUUGCUUCACAGAGAAUAACAUUGACUGUACUUCACUGUCAAAGACUUUUUUUUAGAGCUCAUUAGCCUGGUAAUUGCUUAUUUUGUCUGCAAUAAACUGACGCAAUCUGGCACUAUGUGCUUUAAUAAAGCUCCCUUGUUCAGAAAACAAGUCUUGAAAGAAAUUCACUGCGAUCCUCUUGACCUCCUCAUAAUCCUCCACUUUAUGUCCACUGCUAUUCUGAAAAGAUAAAAUACUAUUCCUCCUCUGAUGCAUUUUCAUCUUUCUAUGAAAAAAUUUUGUACUCUUAUCCCUUGAGAGUAGCCAAUCAGUAUGGGCCUUAUUCUUGAAAAAUUGUUCCUCGGCAAUUAAAAGAGAAGUAUAAGCUGAUAGACAUUUCUUCUCAAUAGAUUGCAAGUGUAUGUCAUAGGAGCCUAUUGUAGUUGCCUUUGAGCAGAGUAUGGAGCCUCUUGUGCAUGGAUAGUUUUGAUAGAGAUAUCCCAGAAUUCUUUCUUAUUUAACAAUUUUAAUGUUGUCUUCACCUCUUUCAGCUUCAAACAGAAAGUCCUCGUAGGGUCACCUUGAAAUUUAGUAGACCAUGCCUUAUGAAGUAGCUGAGGGAAAUCAUUGUGAGACAUAAAAAAUCCAUGAAAUUUGAAAGGCUUAGGUCCAAAAUUAAAAUCUUUCUUAAUAGUAAGUAAUCCAGCACAAUGAUCCGAUACUCCAGGAUCCAAAAACUCAGCUUCUUGAUGAGGAAAUAAUUGCAUUUAUUUCUCAUUACAUAAUAUCCAGUCAAGUUUGCAAUAAAGCUGAUCUUUACCAAACCUUCCAUUGCACCAGGUAAGUAAAUAGCCUUUGAAUGGCAAAUCAUCAACAUCAAUUUGUUGCAAGCAAUCUUCAAAUUCAGAUAUUGCAACCUGGUUUCUUUCCAUAUUACCAGAUUUUUCAUAAUCAUAACAAAUUAUAUUGAAGUCUCCCAUUAGAAUCCAAGCAUAAUGAUAAGUGAAUAUUUAACGUGCAUUUUGUACAAGUUUGGCAUGAAUUUUUGGUAGGUUUUGAGAAGAUUAAAUCCAUAUUUGAACUCUUUUGGUGAUAAUUGCUUAAAUAUUGUUUAAGUGUUCAAAACUUGAUAAAUGAGUGGAUUAACGUGUUAAUUCAGUGAAAUUGUGAAGGAUUGAUAUAUGGAAUUCAUGCAUGAGAUGAAGAAAAUGUAAGGAUCAUCUGGAAGACAAAAGUACAAGGAUACUAGGAGCAAAAACGAAGAAAAAGGAAUGAAGUGAAAAUCUAGAAAAUGAUCACACGGAUCCGAGCUCGGAUCCGUGUGCAAUAAGAGCAAUCCAAGCCCUCGAAUGUACUUCUGGAGUAAUGGAUCCGAGGUCUACUGAUCUGAGCUCGGAUCCAUGUGAGAAAGGCCUCGGAUCAUCCUUGAUCCGAACUCGGAUCGUAUUGCACCCCUCGGAUCCAGGGCUCGGAUCUGCCUUUCUCUUCUGCAAGUGGCACAGCCGUUUUUCUCACUUUUUACACAACUUUCCAGCUAUCUUGGGUGAGAGAAUUCGGUGGCACAUGCUUCUGCAACAAAAGGGAAGACAAAAUGAGUUAUUGACAAGUCAAAACAACAUUUCUUUUGACUUUCCUUACAAAAUCUGAGUUGUUGGAAUCAUGAAGGAGAAAAAAGUGUCUUUCUACCACCUUUUAUGCAGAGACACAAGGGGAAGCUAAGGAAAGAUACGGAGGGAGUUUUUCUUCUUGUAGCAAGUUUCUCUCUAGCUAGAAGUUCUUGAAGAAGCACUAGGAGACUUCACUUGUAAUCAUCUUAUACAAGACAUAGCAGAAAUUUGAGAGUUUCACCAUUAAUUGGCUAAGCUUUUCUUUAUCUUUCUUGUACUUGUAUUUUAUGAUGUUUUGCAUUAAUAAACUUGUGAGUUUGAUUGUUAUAUCAUUCAUGAAUAGCUAAAUUUCUUUAUCUAGGGAGUAAAUGAAACCUAUGACUAAAUGAUAUGAAUUGAAUGUGAUUUACACUUGUUGUAUCUUGUAUUAACUUGUCUAUUUGUAUACUUGUAAUUACUUGUUAUUGUUUGAUCACCAAUAGCAUGUUUAUAGUUGUUAUUAUUCAAUGAGAAUUGGUAGUAACAUUGGAAACACAUAAGUAGAGUUUAAGUUGUAUGUUCAUGAAAAUAGAGGUAUACUUAAGUGGAUUAUUUAGCAUUUCAUGAAGGAAAACAGAGUAGAACUAGUAUUUCACCAUGAAAAUAGGGAAAACUGGACUACUCUAGGCCAUUUCAUCAUGAGAAUGAGAUCUGGUAAUAUUAGAAAUGAAUCCCUGGUUAAAAAAGGAUUGUAACAAGAGGUAAAUCUAUUCAUUUGUGUUGUUUAUGCCAUAAGUGGAAUUUACAUCCCUAGAUUCAAUUUUGAGUGAAAGUUCUCCAUUUGUAUUUAGCAUUUAUUAAACCAGAUUUGUAGACAAUAGCAUUAUAAUCUUCUUGCUUAGAUUUAUCGUAAGUCUAAAUAAUAGAGAAAAUAAGGGUCUAGCACUUGUUUAAAUUGCUCCUUGUGGAAUCGACCUGAUAUUUGCCCAAAACUACUAAGUGACCUGUAUACUUGCAGUCCAACAGGUAAAAUUUGGAAAUAAACUUGCAUUGAUAUAAAAAUCCCGUCACAUAAUCAUGUAUUAUAUUCUGAAGCCUACACAGCUCACUCCAUAAGGCUCUCCUAUCCUCCUUAUCAUUUCUAGCAUAUAGAAAAGAGACAACAAAACUACUUCGCCAAUUUGUAUCAUUUCUAGCAUAUGGAUUAACUUAGUGUUAAAAAAAGUUUUAACUAGUAACUCAUAGAUUUAUCACUAUUGCUGGAAAUUGAAUAUUUGUUGAUGUAGAAAAUAAAUUGCAAAAUCUUUCGUUCUUAAUUGAGUAGGAAUAUGUAGCUAGAUUAUGGUUAUUAUAAAAAUUUUAAUCAUCUAAAAAAUAUCCACAUACAAAAAAGUAGAAUAUCUAUUGAUUUUUUGAUAUGCGUUAUAAUAUAUGAUGAAUAUUUUUAUAUUAUAGUAAAAGUAUGUGAAGAAGUUUUUAAAAAUUAGUAUAAUAGUUAAAGAAGUUGUAAAUAAGUUUUUAAAAAUUAGUAUGAUAGUUAAGUAUUUUUAUUAUAUCAAUCUUGUAAAAUUAAUAUGAAUGAACUUGUAAGAUCAUCGUUAAUUUUUUUUUAAAUUAAAUUUUGGUCUUUUAUUGGAAAAGCAAAAUAAACACAGGAGGGGGAGAUGGACCUUACCUCCAAAUAAUACCAAGAAGCAAAUGCUAGAGAAGGAGUAGGGGAAGCAUUCCCUUUACAUCAUUUGCUCUUACAUUUUCUAAUUGAAGGCAGGCCUAUUUUAUCUAACCGAAACGCUCCACGAGCUGUAAUAGGGAGGUCUAAAAACUAAAGAUACGUUGUAUCGAAACCUUGAUCACACCCCACGUUAUAUUACAUCGUUAAUUUUUUUAUCUAAAUGGUUCAUGCUUGCACAAAUUCAUUAUAAAUUAAAAAAAUAAAUUAUGCCAAGGCAAAGGCAAAAUGUUAGUUCAAAUUAAUGCUGUACAUGUAUAGGAGUCACAAAACGGUUUGGUGCAUUAGCAGAUGGAAGGGGACAUCUAAAGUACUAGGACAAGUUUAAUACUAAAGUGGGAGAUUUGUAAACCAAUUGAGCGUAAACAAAUGAGGCUGAGAAAAAAAUUAAAUGACUUGCAAUACAAUCAUAAAAGCUGUGACAAUUAGUUAAAAUAAAAAAUAUUUAUUAAUUUGGUGCAGUCUAAUUGUAAACCAAGGAAAAAAAUAUGGAUGAUCCGUAAGAGAGAAAGAUGUCAUUUGACUUUAAAUAAAAGUGUGAUUGGAUAGAUGUUUAGUCGAACCAAAAAAUUAGACUAAUAUCGUAACACUUUUUGUGGCUUGAUAUAAUGUAUGUAAGACAAAAUGAUAGUCGGUAAAAUAAAAAAAAAUGAUUUGGGUAAGUAUAAAUAAUCUUUUUCAUAUAUUUGUGUAAUGAUGAUCGUGAUAGGGUGAAGACAAUGUAUGCAAAAACUAAAAGUGAUAACAAUAAUGAUAAGUAUGGUGAGAUGGACAGCAUUGCAUGUUGCACACCAGGCAAGUAGUGUUUUAGAUUAGGUAAAUUUGAGAUUGAAUGGAAUUGAUUAGCUGACACAACUUUUAAUGAAUACACAUCUAUUAUGCUUUCAAUCCAAAUAAGGCUAAAUUUCAUUUUUUUUUUUUUUUUUGCCCUUAACUGGAAUUCUCAGCCAAUGUAUUUUAGGUGAUUUUCGUUAAAAGGUUUAUCAACUUUAGCAAGGACAGCAUCAUCCUUACCCGCACCAAUGAACAAAGAAAAGCAAGAACACAUACAUUUAUUGAAUUUUUGAAGAAAUAAUAAGCAGAAUGCGAGGUGUCCUAUGAGGCAAGGGAAAAUGAAGACGUGGACUACUCCAGGAGCAUUAGCAGAGAAGAAAAGAAAAGGGAUGUAAUUUUCUCCUUUUUUCUUUAUAAAUUUUUCAUUAAAUUUUCUUUAUUUCAUGAAUUAUUAGAAAAUUGUGAGGAGGGUUUGGUGAAGCAAAGAAAUAAUGUGAGGAGUACGCAUUUAACAUGUGCAGUGUUGAAAGAAGGGAGAAAUGGCAGGACAAUACGAUGUGACCAACUACUAGAUUGGACAAACUUUUUUUUUCCUUUUUUUUUUUCGGGUAGUGGAUUGAUUACACAGACUAUUUAAGAGGAUAUAUUAAAAGAAUUUUAACAAACACAAAAAAAUUUCUGAAAAUGCCCAAUUAUUUUAAUGGAAAUCAUUGCAUGAAAAUAUUUGUCUGACGAAAGAUUUUACAUUGACAAACAAACAUUAUAAUUAAUUUAUUGUUCAUGUUUCUUGGGACUGGGUAAUUAUGGUAGGGCGAAAGCGUGCACUGUGGUAGGUGAAGGUGUGCCUCUUACGAUUAAUGAGUCGUUGAAACUUGAAAAGCAACCAUCCCCUUGAGUCUUGUUCACGUAUAUUAGAGACAUUGCACCUUUACGAAAUGUACAUUUCAUUCGUUCACGGACCCGCCGGUGGGCAUGAAAGUUGCCACGAAACUUAUUUGAUCUGCAGAUUUGAUCCAUGCCAUCAUAUUCAUGUCUUCAGCUUGUCAAACUGUAUAUUCGUUGAGAGCGAUGAAUAGGAGGAUUCUGUGUAAAGCUCUACCACACGAGUACAACUUUGGCGAAAGUUUUUGAAAUGUGUAAUUGUUUGGCAAAGGUUACUCUCACUUUACCCUCUUAAUAUUAAGGCAAGCAUCACCUUUUCCCUUAACGUUGUAUUUUAGUCAUUUUACCCCUAAAAAUAAAAGUUAAAUUUAACGGAGUUUGUUAAUUCAAAUGAAAAUGUAUGUUUAGCUCUUAAAAUUUGGAUUAAUUAUGAAAAGCCCCCUAAGAUUUAACUAGUUUGCACUUUAUCCCCUAACUUUAUUUUUCUUAUCACUUUACCUCAUAAAUUAUUAGUCAACUUUAACAUUACGUAACGAGAACUUCAAAGAAACAUUGAAACCGUAAGGACUAAUUGCAGUAAAUUCCCUUAAAAUAUAACUAUUUUGUAGUUUAUUCACUGAUAUUAUUUUUCUCUUAAUUUGUCUAUUCGUUCCUAAAAUCAUUAGUCAACUCUAAUAUUCUCACCUUGAGCUCAUCAACCACAAAUAUUCCACUUCAUUAUACGUCCAAUGGAUCCAAAAUUGAGACUUUUUAUUAUUAUAUAAGGAAUGCUUCCAUUCUCCAAACAAAGAAAACCAUAAGAUUCCAGAGAUUCAAUCGCCAAUGGAGAAGACAUCAAACGAAUCUAAUACUCGUAGAUUCAGAGUUUUGAUGUUCCCAUGGCUAGCUCAUGGCCACAUGUCUCCCUUCUUAGAACAAUCGAUGGGACUUACCCUUUUCCUGCAAUUUUUCUCCGGGAUUAUGAAAUAAAGAAGAUGGCAGCAUUUCUCCAAGAAUUAAAAAAGAAACGUUCCCGAAGAAGGUGUGCUAUCUAUGACUAAGAGCUUUGAAGUAUCUUCUGACAUUGUUUUGCUGAAAGCCUGCAGAGAGAUUGACGGGAAAUAUAUUGAUCACUUAUCUUCCUCUCGUGGAAAGAAGAUUUUAGCUGUCGGUCCUCUUAUUGAACUAAAACAUGAUGUUACCAAGAUGGAGGAGGAGACGGAAAACAGUUCCCAUAUCAUUGAAUUUCUGAAUGGUAGAGAGGAAUCAUCAGUGGUUUAUGUUUGUUUCGGGAGCGAAUACUUUUUGUCCGAGGAAGAAAGGGAAGAGAUGGCAUACGGGCUGGAGCUGAGUAAUGCUAACUUCAUAUGGGUAGUCAGAUUCCCCGUGGGACAUGCCAUUGCCCUUGAAGAAGCUCUAGCAGAAGGGUUUCUCGAGAGGGUGAAAGACAGAGGUGUGGUGGUGGAUGGAUGGGCACCGCAGGCUAAAAUUCUUGAGCAUCCAAGCACUGGUGGUUUUGUGAGCCAUUGCGGAUGGAGUUCUUUUAUGGAAAGCUUAUAUUAUGGGGUUCCAUUGUUAGCCUUGCCCAUGCUUUAUGAUCAGCCUUUCCAAGCUAGACAUGCGGUGGAGAUUGGCGUUGGCAUUGAGAUUUUGAGGGAUGAAGAUGGGCGGAUCAAGAGGGAAAAUGCUGCUAAAGUCAUAAAAGAGGUGGUCGUGGGGAAGAAAGAGCUGGGAGUAUCAGUGAAACAAAAAGCUAAGGAAUUGAGUCACAAGUUGAGAGAAGAAGGUGAAGGGCAGUUGCAUGAAGCAGUAGAGAAGCUCAAGAGCUUAUGCAGCAAGAACCAGUCGCAAGAAUAGUGAAUCCAAGGAAUCCCAGGUAUCUCAAUUGUUUACGACCUUUUUUUUUUUUUACUCAUUAAUAUUUUAUGGUAUGGAUUGUGUGAAAUUUAUUCACUCUAAUGUUUAUUAUGUGAGGACGAUGUACGCCAAAGAAAAAAUGGCCAUCAUAUUUGCGGGCAUUAUAGUUUAAAUUUUGUAACUUUCUAUUUAUUUUUUAGGGAUAAUUUCAGAAACCUCAGGGGAGGUUUCUGACAUUUACACUCACCUCCCCUGUGGUUUGAACAAUUACACUAACCUCCCCUGAGGUUACUAAUCCUUUACAAAUUCAGUCCAAAUGAUUAAAAUAUUGUUUUAGAGAGUGAAAUUAGAAUUUUGUACCUGAUUUGCCCUUUGUGCUACAUGUCCAAUGAAUGACAAAGUAUUACAAAUUAAUUAAUAAUUAAUAAAUUUUAAGGAGCGUAGUUUAUAGGCAAAUACGUAUUACUUAUUUAAAGUACCAGUUCUUUACGGGUAUUUUACUUUCAAACAUUUACUUUAUUACAAAUAUUUAUUCUCAAAUACUGGUAGGUUUUUAUUUAACAAAAAUUAAAUAUUUGAGAGUAAAUACUAAUCUGUAUUUGAGAAUAAAUAUUUGUAAUAAAGUAAAUGUUUGAAAGUAAAAUACCCGUAAAGAACUGGUACUUUAAAUAAGUAAUACGUAUUUGCCUAUAAACUACGCUCCUUAAAAUUUAUUAAUUAUUAAUUAAUUUGUAAUACUUUGUCAUUCAUUGGACAUGUAGCACAAAGGGCAAAUCAGGUACAAAAUUCUAAUUUCACUCUCUAAAACAAUAUUUUAAUCAUUUGGACUGAAUUUGUAAAGGAUUAGUAACCUCAGGGGAGGUUAGUGUAAUUGUUCAAACCACAGGGGAGGUGAGUGUAAAUGUCAGAAACCUCAGGGGAGGUUUCUGAAAUUAUCCCUAUUUUUUAUUUAUAACUAUUUUUAUUUUAUAGUUUUAAAAUUCUAAAAAUUCAAUGACCAAAAAGCCUUCAUGUGAUUGGUAUGGGCUAGACUAGAAUAGAAAGAAUGUCUAAAAAAUUAGUUACGCGAUACUCACUAAACUUUUUUGAGCCCAAAUCCAUUCUUGUUGAAAACGCAUAAAAGACAGCUACAGUUUUCAUAUAAUUUGUCCCCAAACGUAUACCACAAUUCUCAAUUUACCCAUUAACUUCUUUUUUUCACUUAACUCUCUCUAGGACAAAACUACCCCUCCAUUAUGUCAAAAAAAAUUUUUUUUUUUUUAUCUUUUUGCUUCUAUCUUCUCUUUCUUUUUUUAAAAUUAGUUUUCUUCUUUCAAAUUCUUAUUUUGGAGCAAAAUAAACAGUUCCUUUAUCUAUUAUUUUCCAUUUCUAAAAUUGGUAUUCAUCAAAUAAUUUAGUUUAUGUGUCUUGUUACAUAUAGUGAUUCUACAUUAAUUUGUAUCUCUUUUAUUUUUCAUAAUCCAUCUUAACAAAAAAUUUAGGAUGUCCAUUCACUAGGUUACAAUUGUGAAGAAAUUUUAUAUGUUUGUGUGUGUAUGCGUGUGUGUGUUUAUAUUUUCUUAUAAUUAGAAAAUCACCAAUCAAUUAUAAUCUUAAUUUCAACCAUUCCUUAAAAUUAAAGAAAUUAAAAAAAUUCCACCAAUUUCUUUAAAACCCGCAGACCUCCAGAGUUCUCCAUUUCUAUGCCAAAGAAAACUGUGUUCAACGAUCAAAAUGUAAAGGAGAGAGAGGAAAUGACAACCAUAGUUGUGACUUUGCAACAUUAAUUACCUCGUUCAUUAAUCCUUGGGAAAUAGACUAAAAAUGUUAUUUUGUGGGGGGAAAAACUGAAAAAAUAAUCGCUGGUUCACUUAUCAAAAACAUGAAGUGAAAUGUGAAAGCCCGUCUUUUUCUGUAAAUAAUGUUAUUAAUUAUUUUACUAGUCGUUUACUUAGUUAAUUUAUCUCUUUAGAGGUUGGUGUUAAUAUCUUAUCUUAUCUCAACCACCAAGGAUAGUGGGUGUUGAGGGAGAAUGUUUUGUAACUUAGGAAGACAUCUACUCAAACUAACCUACUCUUUUCUAUCUAUUACUCAAAUUCUUUGGGGUUGGGAGCCUUUACAACUACAAUAGAAUAGGAGUUGUGGGGAGAGUUUGGAGUAAACCACGUUCUCUUCCUUGGCCUAAAUAACUAACUUGUUUGCCUGUCACUUGAUUCAUUUGGUAAACACCCAAUAUACGACAGAGUGGGAAAAAAAAAAAAAGAACGCAAGGAAGAACGUCAAGUGUUGAAGGACUAGUGAAGGGGUAGAGAGGGAUUAAUUCAAUAUGGAGAAAUCAACACCCUCGACAUCUCCAUUGGAUUGAGUAAGAUUUCAAUCAUGUUGCUUCGUUUACUUAUUUGUUUGAAUUUUCACUAAGAAAAACCCCUAGGCAUAUUACUAGGGACCUAGGCUAUUGACAAGCUUAAAUGUAAUUAUCAAUGUUUUAUUAAUAGGUUUUAUAUGUUCAGAACUCUAAAAUCAAAUGGGUAUUGUUAUAGUCCUGAUCAAUGUCUUUGGCACAUAUUAUAUCGCUUUGGAUUGUUUAGUGUUGAAGGAAAUAUAGAAAUUGUACCCAACAAAGAUAAAUAACUAGAGAAUCAGAAUCUUCAGUCUGACAUUUGGUACAAAUUUUGAAGGCAAAGUAGUGAUGGUUUGUUGUGGUCUUUUGGUUAGAAUCAAAAGGAUGAAAAGAGUCAAAGAUUGAUCAAAUUGGUGGGAUUUGCGUAAUUACAAAAGCAUUGAUUACAAAUACAAAAAGGGCCAUGGCUUUUGAUUUCAUAAGAUUGAGUUUGUAAGAGAAGUCAAUUCAACAAAAUAAAUGAAGAACAGUUGUUGAUGAUAUUAGGAGAGGAAAAUCAUAGGUUGAGAUGAUGGGUUUGAAGAUUUGUUCUUCUUAUUUUUAUCUUUCUUCAAAAUUUAGUAUUGGCCCUUGAUUUCAAGAUAAUUCUGCUAAGGCUCAGAAACUAGUAUUUUUAAUUGUCUAACUAAUGUCUCAGGCCGAAUGCAUGUGAACUAGUGCUCUCUUAUAUGAUAAUCAAGGCUGGAAUCAAGUAACGGAGGUCAUUUAGGCCAAUUUACUAGGACCAACUAUCAUCAUUCUUGGAGCUAGACAUAAAGAAAAAAUAAUGAUAGCUUGGGUUAAAAGAAAAAUUUUGGGCCUAUCAGGUUUUCAAAUAAAUGAAUGAACAUAUUUUACCAAGCCUAAUAGCUGCAUUUUAAAUAUCCUAAUAUGGACUCACUAUAAGUUAUUAAAUCAUUGAAAAAAAAAAGAGAAAUUCAAACUUUACUUCCAAGGCUUAUAUUUUAAUUGGUCAAACUCAAGAUAUCUUUUAUUAAAUUCAAUUUCAUUACUAAAUAGUAUCUAAUAAAUCCGCAAACCAACUCUAGAAACCCAAAUUAUCUUCUAAAUCCCAGUUGAUUAAAAAUAAAAGAGAAGAAGUUUAAUUAAUAAACGGACUUAAAUCCUAGGCCGGCCGAACCCAGGACCCGACCCAAGUUAAUGUGGGCCAUUUUCUACAUAAGUAAACAAAUAAACAAACAAACAAACGAAUGAAUGGAUAAAUUGAUAAUAAAUGAAUUCUAUAUAAUCGAGUUAAGAGACUUCCUAAAAUUAGGACACCCUCUAAAAAAAAAUCGUCUCAAUUAACAAACUUUUUUAAAACGGAAAAUCUUUUAUUUCAAGAAACUAUAUAAGUAUAUUUUAGAGAAUGUCCAGACACGUUUUCUUGGUUAUUUAAGGUAGGGUUAGGCACUUUAAGAAUAAGAUAAUUAAAUUAAUUAAGGUAUAUAUGUUAUUUGUUAUAGGCUUGAAGCAAGUUUAACGGUGCACUAAGAAUCUCUUCAAAAGCGCAAUUUGAGGUAGGUGGUGCUUACCCCUUUGUAUUUUUGAAAUGUUAAAUAUGAAUAUUUUUUUCGAGUAAGAGCUUUAUUUUGGUAUAUGAAGAAAUGAAUCAUGUAUGCCUAUUUCAAAUGUUUUGCAAGCACGAAAUUAUGAAUACUUGAAAUAUUUUGCUAUGCAAUAUUUUAUGGAAUGAGUGGCAUAUUUUCAUAAAAUGAAAGAAAGGUGCAUGUGACGUGUGAAAUGAUUUUAUAUUACGAAAAGCUCUAAACGGUCAUGGAAUAAACGGUAGGGGCUGUAGUCCUGCCUAAUGGUCAUGGUAGCCUGGUAUAGAGUCCGGCCGAUUGACAAGGUCAUGGUAGUUUGGUAUAGAGUCUGGCCGAUUGAUCUAUGUAUGUAAUGAGACCAAUCAAUAGUCAUGAAACCUAUUGGUCACCCACCUAGAAGGGGUUUAAUCUCUAGGCUGAGUACUCAGAAGCCAAAUAUUGCAUGUGCUUGUUUAUGAGCUAUGUUAUGAAAUGAAAUGACAUGAUUGAUAUAAUUUAUGAUUUGCAAGUAUGUUCAAUGAAUACAAUCAUGUCAUAUUAUGUGUAUUUCUUAACUAUGUUCGGCGGGGGCCACGUCUAGAACCUACGGGACUAAGUGUCACGUCAGACAGAGGCCACUUAUGUUUAAGCCACUCACUUUCAAUGAGAUAUGUUUAUGUAAUAUAUGAAAUAAGAUGACAAAUGUUUGUAAUUGCUAUAUGCAUGUGGUAUGGUGUGACCGAAUUUGCAAAUGUAUAUAGUAUGUAUAUAGCUACAUGAUCCAACAGCGGAGUAAGUACUACUCACUGGGCAUACGUCGCUCAACCCACGUCCAUUUAUCUUUCUUGCAGAUCAAAGAAGUCAGUUCGUGUACAUUUAGAAAAUAAGUGAGAAAGGUAUAUAGAUAGAUGUUUAAAUUCUGAGGAGUUAGAAUAAAGUAUUUUGUAGAUAUAAUUUAUUGAAGUGUACGUGUCUCAUUGGUAUAUGUAAGAUUUAAAUUUUAGUGAAUUUUUGUAAGUUAUGGUUAUGAUGCUUUGUAUUUAUGGGAGUAAGGUCUCAUAGAUACGGCGUGCCACGUUGCAAAUCCAGUCCAGGGACGUAAUUGGCGUGAUUCUUAGCUUUUACGCUUGUGAAAUUACCAAAAUAGUCACUCAUAGUUCCACAAGUUUUCUAGCACUUUAGACAUUUUGUGUCAAAAUGUCUUGUUUACAUACAAUAUACAAAAUUUAAGUGGUGAAAGUUUGAGAAGUUUCUUUAUUAUUAUUCUUUUUUUGGUUGGAAGACAAUAUACAAUCAACUAGAGUUAGAAGUGAAAUAGACCUUUAGCUCACACUAUAAUCAUAAACUUUGACUGAAUUUGAAUGUUUUAGGAAGGGGGAAAUGAGCAUGUUCCUGUGGUUUCAUUUUUACUAUUGAAUUAUUUGCCUAUGAUAUGAUCACAAGUUUAACUUCAACGGAGUUGUGAUAAUAGAAGAUUGUCUAAACUCGAAAGAAGACUUCAAAUGGUGGAAAUUGAAAAUGAGUGUGCAAUUGAUCGCAUCUAAUCAAUACAUAAUAUAUAUGUAUAUAUAUAUAUAUAUAUAUAUAAUGAAAGUUGUAAUUUCAAUUACCCAUAUUCUCUCUCUUAGGUGGUUUACCUAAUUGAAAAGAAUUAAUGGAAAAUUAACCGGUUAUUUGGAUACUUGAGUUUCAACUAUAUUUGUAUCUAAUUCUUUUAUAAUUAGUUUUCUUUAUAGUUUUUCUCUCUUCUAACAACUUUAUCUUUUUAGAUAAGUUUGAGUUAUUUGUUCUUAUGGUUCCUCUCUCUUCUAACAAUAUGAUAAAUUCAUAUAAUUUUUUUAUCCAUAUGGAUUAAAUUAGUGUUAAAAAAACUUUAACUGGUAACUCAUAGAUUUAUCAAUAUUGCUGGAAUUUGAAUAUUUGUUGAUGUAGAAAAUAAAUUGCUAAAUCUUUUGUACUUAAUUAAGUAGGAAUAUGUAGCUAGAUCUAUGGUUAUUAUAAAAAUUUUAAUUAUAUAAAAAAUAUCCACAUAAAAAAGUAGAUUAUCUAUUGAUUUUUUGAUAUGCAUUAUAAUAUUUGAUGAAUAUUUUUAUAUUAUAGUAAAAGUAUGUACAGAAAUUUUUAAAAAUUAGUAUGAUAGUUAAAGAAGUUGUGAAGAAGUUUUUAAAGAUUACUAUGAUAGUUAAGUAUUUUUAUUACAUCAAUUUUGUAAAAUUAAUAUGAAUGAACUUGUAAGAUCAUCGUUAAUUUUUUUUAUCUAAAUUGUUCAUGCUCGCACAAAUUCAUAACAAAUUUUAAAAAUAAACUUUGCUAAGGCACAGGCAAAAUGCUAGUUCAACUUAAUGUUGUACAUGUAUGGGAGCCACAUAACGGUUUGGUGCACUAGCAGAUAGAAGGGGACAUCUAAAGUACUAGGACAAGAUUCACAUUAAAGUGGGAGAUUUGUAAACCAAUUGAGCGUAAACAAAUGAGGUUGAGGAAAAAAUUAUAUCAGUUGCAAUACAAUCAUAAAAGCUGUGACACAUUAGUUAAAAUAAGAAAUAUUUAUUAUUUUGGUGCAGUCUAAUUGUAAACCAAGGAAAAAAAAUAUGAAUGAUCCGUAAGGGGGAAAGAUAUCAUUUGACUUUAAAUAAAAGUGUGAUUGGAUAGAGGUUUAGUUGAACAAAAAAAUUAGAUUAAUUUCAUAACACUUUUUGUGAUUUGGUAUAAUGUAUGUGAGACAAAAUGAUAGUCGAUAAAAUUAAAAAAAAAUGAUUCAGGUAAGUAUGUUGCACACCAUGCAAUUAGUGUAUUAGAUUAGGUAAAUUUGAGAUUGAAUGGAAUUGAUUAGCUAACACAACUUUUAAUGAAUACAAAUUUAUUAAGCUUUCAAUCCAAAUAAGGCUAAAUUACUUUUUUUUUUUUGCCCUUAACCGGAAUUCUAAGCCAAUGUAUUUAGGUGAUUUUCUUUAAAAGGUUUAUCAAUCCAAUUUUGUAUUUUAGGUGAUUAAACAAAGAAAAGUAAGAACACAUGCAUCUAUUGAAUUCUUCAAGAAAUGAUAAGCAGAAUGCGAGGUAUCCUUUGAGGCGUGGGAAAAUGAAGACGUGGACUACUCCAGCAGCAUUGGGCAGAGACAAAUUCAUAAGGAAAGAAAAGGGAUAUAAUUUUCUCCUUUUUUCUUUAUAAAAUUUUCAUUAAAUUUUCUUUGUUUCAUGAAUUAUUAGAAAAUUGUGAGAAGCAUGGUUAUAAAACCCGACCCGGUCUGGCUCGACGGUCGAACCGGUCAACCCCCAGUAGACAGGGUCAGGUCUCUAAUUAGAUCGGUUAAGCACCGGAACCAUUGACUGGUCAAUGAUCUAGUGUUUCAACCGAAUUAAACAGGAAACCCGACCGAUUUUGUGGAGAAACCAGUUUUGAGAAAAAAAAUUUUACCCAUUUUUUAAGCUCACUACCAAACCAUUUUGCCACAUGUUAGUUAAUUAUCAUUCUUAUACUAUAUGAACGUUUUAUCAAUUUUAUCUUUAUUCUUUUUUUAUUUCUCCAAAACAAAUUUAUUUGGAAUCUUUUAAUACAAACUUAUGACCCCCAAAUUCUAUAAAUUAUAAAAUAUAUUUCAAAAAUAACAUAUUACAUAAUUUAUUUUAAAGAUAAAUAUUGUUUUUAAUAAUUUUUUACACUUAAAAUUCGUAAGUAACCUAGAUAAUUGCACUAAAUAUAGAUAAAAUUUUACACUUGAAGUUUGGUGGAUCACUAAUUAAAUUUAUGUUUUGCUGAUUCUUAUAUGAAUUAAUUAUUCUAUAGCAAAUUAAAUUAAAUGAGCAUUUGUUAUGACAUUAUUUAUUAAAAUUUAUAUCCUAUAUCCUAUAUAAAAAAUUAUAAGAUAUAAUAUUUAAAUAUAUUUAGUGAUCUACUUGUUCAACCACUUAUCCACUGGUUGAACCAGUAAUCCGUUGACACACCUCCUUUGUCGGUCUCCUUUCCGGACCGGGUUUAAUAACUAUGGCGAGUAGGGUUUGGUGAAGCAAAGAAAUAAUGAGAAAGGAUUGGCUUGUCCAUGCACACUCCUAGAAUCAGUAGUAGGGUCGUGGAGUACGCUUUUAGCAUGUGCGGUGUUGGAAAAAGAGAGAAAUGACAGGGCAGUACGAUGGGAGCCAAGUCAGCCAACUACUAGAUUGGACAGACUUUUUUUUUCUUCUUUUUUUCUUUUUGGAUAGUGGAUUGAUUACACAGACUAUUUAAGAGGAUAGUAUAUUCUAAAAGAAUUUUAACAAACACAAGAAAAUUUUCUGAAAAUACCCAAUUAAUUUAGGGGAAAUCAUUGCAUGAAAAUAUUUAUCUGACGAUAGAUUUUACAUUGACGAACAAACAUUAUUGUUAUUAAUUUGUUGUUCAUGUUUCUUGGGACUGGGUAAUUAUGGUAGGGUGAAGGCGUGCACUGUGGUGGGUGAAGUUUUGUGCCUCUUACUUACCCGUUACCAGUACAUUUCAUUUAUUCAUGGACCCGUGUUAAAAUUGCUUUCGCGUUAUGUUUUCGAGCCAACAAAUAUGGCAUAUAAUAACUUUUUUACAAAAGUCUGAUGACAGCAAACGGGUUUUGGCAGGAAUAAAAAGAGUAAAGCUGCAAAUGGGUCCCCGCAUGAAUGCUACAUACCUACCGGGACUCGGGGCACGGACGGUUGCAGGACUCCUGUAACCCUGUCAAUUUUAGUCAUUAUCAACUGCGCGUAACUUUCUUUGUACAUCAUGUAAUUUUUUUUUCACAGGAUAUAUUUUCACAACAGAUAGUGAUGGAUCCCACACUUGACGCGAAAAUCGAGUUACAUGGUGUAAUCUCAGCCGCACAAAAUUUUAAGGGCCAAUCUUGGCCCUUAACCGUGCAGGGAUGGCAGUAUGAUUGAAUUAAAUAUCUUUUUGUCCUCAAGGAAUCAAGAGUCAACCACAAAGAUUCCACUUCAUUAUCCGGCCGAUGGAUCCAAAAUUGAGACUUUUCAUUAUUAUUUUGGGAAUGCUUCCAUUCUCCUAACAAAGAAAACCAUAGGAUUCCAGAGAUUCAAUCAAAUCACCUAUGGAGCAGACAUCAAACGACGAAUCUAAAACUCGUAGAUUCAGAGUUUUGAUGUUCCCAUGGCUAGCUCAUGGCCACAUGUCUCCCUUCUUAGAACUAUCCAAGAGACUUGCCAAAAACAACUUCCAGAUCUACUUUUGUUCCACUGAGAUCAAUCUGAGUUUCAUCAAGAAAGAUAGAAACUUGGACGAGUACUUCUCCGCUCAUUCAAUAGAAUUAGUGCAACUUGAUUUG